rnacentral:misc_RNA from 1 species
CGGCCACGCCUACACAUGCAGCUCCAGCUGCAGCAUGCACAUGGAGGUGGAGGAGCGUGCUGGCUGGCGCAGUGGCAGCAGUAUACAGUACGUGGUUGUGGGGGUGGGCCGGGGGUGCUUUCUCUGCUGCGAGCUGACUUCGCAGUACUGGCUUGCCCGGCCCUGGCCCUGGGCUGAGCACGCAGAGGCAGCGGGGGAUGGAAGGAGAGAGAAGUUAAAGAAAAGAGAGAGAGAAGAGAAGAGAAGAGGCGAGACUGUUGGAGAGUUGAUUGAUGGGACGAGCGAGCGACAUGGACGGACAUGGCUCCGGCCUCUCUGGCGUGCGCGCGUGGGUGGGUGGAUACGCGCCCCGAAUCAAAUUUUACGCAAAAAAAUCAGAUUCAAAGAAAUAAACUCAUUCCAGUCCUAUACAAUCUAUCCGUUUGGGUUGAAUUUGCAGCUUCUACUACUCCUUCAAUGUUAAUAGCUGGCUUUAAUCGCUCCUUCAAUAUUAGUAGUAGUAGAGUGACGAUCGAU